AGGGUAAUGGCCUACCAAGGCAACGAUGGGUAUGUGGUCUUAGAGGAUGAUCACACACACUGGAACUGAGACACGGUCCAGACUCCUACGGGAGGCAGCAGUAGGGAAUAUUGCACAAUGGAGGAAACUCUGAUGCAGCAACGCCGCGUGAGUGAAGAAGGCCCUUGGGUCGUAAAGCUCUUUAGCCUGGAAAGAAGUGCUUAUAGGUAAAUAAUCUGUAGGUGUGACGGUACCAGGAGAAUAAGGACCGGCUAAUUUCGUGCCAGCAGCCGCGGUAAUACGAAAGGUCCAAGCGUUACUCGGAAUUACUGGGCGUAAAGCGCGCGUAGGCGGCUUUGUAUGUCGAUUGUGAAAGCCCCGGGCUCAACCUGGGAACUGCAGUCGAAACUGCAAAGCUUGAAUGUUGGAGGGGUUGGGGGAAUACCUAGUGGAGAAGUGAAAUUCGUAGAGAUUAGGUGGAACACCAGAGGCGAAGGCGCCUGACUGGCCAAACAUUGACGCUGAGGCGCGAAAGCGUGGGUAGCAAACAGGAUUAGAUACCCUGGUAGUCCACGCCGUAAACUAUGGACACUAGCCGUUCGAAGCAUUAACCCUUUGAGUGGCAAAGCUAACGCAUUAAGUGUCCCGCCUGGGAAGUACGGUCGCAAGACUAAAACUCAAAGGAAUUGACGGGGGCCCGCACAAGCGGUGGAGUAUGUGGUUUAAUUCGACGCAACGCGCAGAACCUUACCUGGUCUUGACAUCGCGAGAUCGCUGCAGAGAUGUAGCUUUACCUUCGGGUACUCGUAGACAGGUGCUGCAUGGCUGUCGUCAGCUCGUGUUGUGAAAUGUUCGGUUAAGUCCGGCAACGAGCGCAACCCCUGUCCUUAGUUACCAUCAUUAAGUUGGGGACUCUAGGGAGACUGCCGGUGUUAAACCGGAGGAAGGCGGGGAUGACGUCAAGUCCUCAUGGCCCUUACGACCAGGGCUACACACGUACUACAAUGGCGAAAACAAACCGCUGCAAACUAGUGAUAGUAAGCUAAUCGGAAAAACAUCGUCUCAGUCCGGAUUGAAGUCUGCAACUCGACUUCAUGAAGUUGGAAUCGCUAGUAAUCGCAGAUCAGCACGCUGCGGUGAAUACGUUCCCGGGCCUUGUACACACCGCCCGUCACACCACGAAAGUGGUCUUAACCAGAAGU
rnacentral:rRNA from 1 species